GACGAACGCUGGCGGCGUGCUUAACACAUGUAAGUCGAACGGAAAGGCCCUGCUUUUGUGGGGUGCUCGAGUGGCGAACGGGUGAGUAACACGUGAGUAACCUGCCCUUGACUUUGGGAUAACUUCAGGAAACUGGGGCUAAUACCGGAUAGGAGCUCCUGCUGCAUGGUGGGGGUUGGAAAGUUUCGGCGGUUGGGGAUGGACUCGCGGCUUAUCAGCUUGUUGGUGGGGUAGUGGCUUACCAAGGCUUUGACGGGUAGCCGGCCUGAGAGGGUGACCGGCCACAUUGGGACUGAGAUACGGCCCAGACUCCUACGGGAGGCAGCAGUGGGGAAUAUUGCACAAUGGGCGGAAGCCUGAUGCAGCAACGCCGCGUGCGGGAUGACGGCCUUCGGGUUGUAAACCGCUUUCGCCUGUGACGAAGCGUGAGUGACGGUAAUGGGUAAAGAAGCACCGGCUAACUGCGUG
rnacentral:rRNA from 1 species